CUUGGUCAUUUAGAGGAAGUAACAGUCGUAACAAGGUUUCCGUAGGUGAACCUGCGGAAGGAUCAUUACAGAGUGCGAGGCUCCGUCGUGGCAUCAGCUGCGUACUGGGCCGACCCUCCCACCCGUGUCGAUUUUGUAUCUUGUUGCUUUGGCGAGCCGGGCCGUGUCGUCGCUGCCCGCAUGGGCAUGCGUCGGCCGCCCACCGGUUUCGACUGGAGCGUGCCCGCCAAAGACCCAACCAAAACUCAUGUUGUUUGUGUCGUCUCAGCUUUAUUAUGAAAAUUGAUAAAACUUUCAACAACGGAUCUCUUGGCUCUGGCAUCGAUGAAGAACG
rnacentral:rRNA from 1 species